rnacentral:rRNA from 1 species
UACGUAGGAGGCGAGCGUUGUCCGGAAUUAUUGGGCGUAAAGAGCUCGUAGGCGGUUUGUCGCGUCGACUGUGAAAACCUACAGCUUAACUGUGGGCUUGCAGUCGAUACGGGCAGACUUGAGUUCGGUAGGGGAGACUGGAAUUCCUGGUGUAGCGGUGAAAUGCGCAGAUAUCAGGAGGAACACCGGUGGCGAAGGCGGGUCUCUGGGCCGAUACUGACGCUGAGGAGCGAAAGCGUGGGGAGCGAACAGG